rnacentral:rRNA from 1 species
UACGGAGGGAGCUAGCGUUGUUCGGAAUUACUGGGCGUAAAGCGCACGUAGGCGGCUUUGUAAGUUAGAGGUGAAAGCCCGGGGCUCAACUCCGGAACUGCCUUUAAGACUGCAUCGCUUGAAUCCAGGAGAGGUGAGUGGAAUUCCGAGUGUAGAGGUGAAAUGCGUAGAUAUCUGGAGGAACACCGGUGGCGAAGGCGGCAUCCUGGACCGACACUGACGCUGAGGAGCGAAAGCCAGGGGAGCAAACGGG